CUGACAGGGACAUCUGGGAAGAGACUCACCGCCUCUGAAAACUUCACAUUGGGAACUGAAAAUUUUUCUCAUUUGACAGGUGGACCCGGUAACCCCCAAACUGGACCCAAGUGAGCUGCAGAGGAUGCAGAAGACAAAAGCUUGGUGCGACAGAAUUUCUGACUAGCCGGGAACCCCUAUCACACAUGCACACCUGCGACAUAUGUGUGUCAGGUGCUUGCGGGUGACCACAGCAAAGCAGAGAUCUGCUCACAUACAAGCCUAAAGAGCCACGAUUAAAGUAAGGGAGUUCUAGGUGCACAGUGUAUAUCCUGGAGAGUGAGCCCAGGGCUUCAUGGAUGUCAGGCAAACACUGUAGCUGAGCCGAGUCCCCAGCCCCGCGUGUGAUCAGAUGCUUCAGGCUCCUGCUGCCUUGACUUGCCUACCUCAAUGGACUACAACCUGGAACUGUGCGGCAAGAUAAACCCUUUCUCCAUUAAGUUGCCCUUGUCAGGGUGUUUAAUCAUAACAAUGGAAAAAGAUGAUCCCUCACCAUUACCAUGGUUACCCCUCUUUUCUACAUACCAUGUAAUAUUUCACAAAUACUAUGUUGUAUGAUGUCUUAGUAUUUAUAAUUAGGCUCCAUUCACACAAACUCAGGCUUCAUUGUUCACAACCUACUGUAGCCUGCAGGUUUUAUUCUCUAUUUUUGUGAGCAAUUUCUUUGCAUAUUUUUUUGCUAUCUUUUCUUUUCAACUGUCCAUUGUGUUUUCUUUACUAAAUAUACUGGAUGCACCUGUUUAAAAUUAAAAAAAAAAUCAUUGUGGGGCUAUAUAAUCACCAGUGAUCUGCUUACCUGUCAUGCACAGGACCUUGGGUUAUUUUCCUACUACUGCAAAAUUAAUUCUUUAUAAACAAAUAAAAUCCUAUAUAUCAGUCCU